UUAUCUUGAUGAAAUCUGGGUUGGGAUUGUAUUUGGGUCAUCUGGGGUCAAAAACUAGGUCAAAUAAUAGAAAAAUCUUGUGUAGACAAUAGAGGUCACAGUUUUCAUCCAAUCUUUAUAAAAUUUGAUCAGAAUGUUUAUCUUGAUGAAAUCUGGGUUGGGAU